rnacentral:rRNA from 1 species
UGGACGAAAGUCUGACGGAGCAACGCCGCGUGUAUGAUGAAGGUCUUCGGAUUGUAAAGUACUGUCUUUGGGGAAGAACGGUCUCUUUGAGAAUAUUGAAGGGACAUGACGGUACCCAAGGAGGAAGCCCCGGCUAACUACGUGCCAGCAGCCGCGGUAAUACGUAGGGGGCAAGCGUUGUCCGGAAUUAUUGGGCGUAAAGGGCGCGUAGGCGGAUGUUUAAGUCCGGUGUGAAAGAUCAGGGCUCAACCCUGAGAGUGCAUCGGAAACUGGGCAUCUUGAGGACAGGAGAGGAAAGUGGAAUUCCACGUGUAGCGGUGAAAUGCGUAGAUAUGUGGAGGAACACCAGUGGCGAAGGCGACUUUCUGGACUGUAACUGACGCUGAGGCGCGAAAGCGUGGGGAGCAAACAGGAUUAGAUACCCUGGUAGUCCACGCCGUAAACGAUGAGUGCUAGGUGUAGAGGGUAUCGACCCCUUCUGUGCCGCAGUUAACACAAUAAGCACUUCGCCUGGGGAGUA